CCUACGGGUGGCAGCAGUGGGGAAUAUUGCACAAUGGGGGCGACCCUGAUGCAGCAAUGCCGCGUGGGUGAAGAAGCACUCCGGUGCGUAAAGCCCUGUCAGCAGGGAAGAAAAUGACAGUACCUGGACAAGAAGCCCCGGGUAACUACGUGACAGCAGCCGCGGUAAUACGGAGGGGGCCAGCGGUAUCCGGAUUUACUGGGUGUAAAGGGGGCGCAGGCGGGGUGGCAAGUCAGAUGGGAAAACCCGGGGCCCAACCCCGGGAGUGCAUUUGAAACUGCCAUGCUGGAGUGCCAGAGAGGUAUGCGGAAUGCCUGGUGUAGCGGUGAAAUGCGUAGAUAUUAGGAGGAACCCCAGUGGCGGAGGCGGCUUACUGGACGGUAACUGACGCUGAGGCUCGAAAGCGUGGGGAGCAAACAGGAUUAGAUACCCGGGUAGUC
rnacentral:rRNA from 1 species